GAUGAACGCUAGCGGGAGGCUUAAUACAUGCAAGUCGAGCGGCAAGGUCUUCGGACCCUAGAGCGGCGCACGGGUGAGUAACGCGUACGCAAUCUGCCCUUCAGUGAGGAAUAGCCCUGGGAAACUGGGAUUAAUACCUCAUAAUAUUAAUAGAUCGCAUGGUUUAUUAAUUAAAGUUCUGGCGCUGAAGGAUGAGCGUGCGUCUGAUUAGCUAGUUGGUAGGGUAACGGCCUACCAAGGCUACGACCAGUAGGGGGCGUGAGAGCGUGACCCCCCACACGGGUACUGAGACACGGACCCGACUCCUACGGGAGGCAGCAGUAAGGAAUAUUGGGCAAUGGAGGCAACUCUGACCCAGCCAUCCCGCGUGAAGGAUUAAGGCCCUAUGGGUUGUAAACUUCUUUUGUUCGGGAAGAAAUCAGGACAUUUAUGUGCUGUUGACGGUACCUUACGAAUAAGCACCGGCUAACUCCGUGCCAGCAGCCGCGGUAAUACGGAGGGUGCAAGCGUUAUCCGGAAUCACUGGGUUUAAAGGGUGCGUAGGCGGUUUGAUAAGUCAGAGGUGAAAGCUAGCAGCUUAACUGUUAAAUUGCCUUUGAUACUGUCAGACUUGAAUCAAGUUGAGGUAGGCGGAAUGUGACAUGUAGCGGUGAAAUGCAUAGAUAUGUCAUAGAACACCAAUUGCGUAGGCAGCUUGCUGGGCUUGAAUUGACGCUGAGGCACGAAAGCGUG
rnacentral:rRNA from 1 species